GAAAUGCGAUAAGUAAUGUGAAUUGCAGAAUUCAGUGAAUCAUCGAAUCUUUGAACGCACAUUGCGCCCCCUGGUAUUCCGGGGGGCAUGCCUGUUCGAGCGUCAUUAUGACCAAUCCCGCAAGGGGUCUUGGGGUCCGCAGUUCGCUGCGGCCCUUAAAAUCAGUGGCGGUGCCAGUGGUGCUCCCAGCGUAGUAAUAUUCCUCGCUCGGGAACUACGGUGGACUCGCUAAUAAACUUAAUUUUUUUAAAAGGUUGACCUCGGAUCAGGUAGGGAUACCCGCUGAACUUAA
rnacentral:misc_RNA from 1 species